UUCCUGAAGCAAAUCAAUUGGCUGCAUAUUGGAACCUUGCAGUAUGUGAGUUCUUUUUUUGACUUUCACCUGCCCAUGUCAUGAUCUGUGCUGCAUAGCCAUCUCUGCUGAGUGUUUUACAGGUGCGUGUGUCUGGAGAGCCCAGCUGUGCCAAAUCAGCUCAUCAGCGAUCAGGGGAUUUAAGGAGCAGCUGGACAUCUCACCAUUGCCAGAUGAUACUCAGUCUUGGGUUCCAGUCAUCUGUUCAUCUCCACUCUCUGCUAUAUCUUUGGAACCAUCUACCACAUUCCAGUCCUGCUGUUUGCCCCUGAUCGCCAGCUCUCCAUCACCCCACCUAUCCACCUGCAGCUCCUCGGUCUCCCCAUCCAGCCAGACCCCACGGAUCCCUCCAGUCCUGCAGAAGCUUCGGCUACCUCUCCCAUUCAAAAUAAAUCAUUUAAACGUACCUUCUGUCUCUCGGUGGUGAUUCUUCAUGUCGUGGGUCAAGAAAUUACCCUCAAACAUGACAGCCCAAGAUUUUUGGUACAGAUGUGGGUAGGGGCUUUCUUUGAGAAUGUCAAUUUUAUACAUUUUUAUGAAAAAACAAUUAGUUGUACCUUUUUUAAUGGCAUUAUUGUUUGCUUUGAAGGACAUGUUAUAUGAUCAGUUUUUGUUGAGUUUAAUUUUGUGGAAAUAAUUUUUUCAAGAAAUGUAGAAACAAAAAACAUCCCUUUAUAACCUCUAAAACAAAGUUUUGUCUGGGUGUAAAUGAAAACAGAUUUGACAGGAAUGAAACUGAUUUAAUGUAAUUGGGUCCCAAAAUUUUCUUUUUGGUUUAAUUACUGCACUUAAAUUGAUAAUUUCUGAUUAAAACACCCCAAAAAAACUUUUUCUGAAGCACCCAAAUGAAUUAGUUCUUCAGAGAACCCCUUGAUAAAUGGUUACUAAAGGAACACUAAAAGGUUCUGAUUUUAAGGUUCCACAGAGAAUCUAAUGAUCUUUAAAGAACUUUUUUCGGUUCUCUGAAGCACCCAAUUAAAUUAGUUCUUCAUAGAACCUUUUGAUAAAUGGUUAUUUGUGGAACCCUAAAAGGUUCUAUAUGUGAGGUUCCACAGAGAACCAAAUAAAAGUUCCUCAAAGAACCCAUUUAUAAAUGGUUCUUUGAGGAACCAAUAGGCAAAAGGUUUCUUGGAGAACCGAAGAAGGUUCCCCUAUGGCAUCACUGUGAAGAACCGUCUGGUUCUAACUGGAACCUUUAUUUUUAAGAGUGUAUUCUGCUUUUGCCUCAUUUCUGCUCAUUGAUUCCAUGUGGUCAGGACAAUAUUGAGCAUGUCAGGAGGGAGCUGUACCUACUUUCCAUGACUAGUCAGUAGAUGAGAGAGAUGUAAGUCAUUUUGAAUACGGAUUUUUGUGUUUCUAUCACGGUUCAGCAUGAACCGGCUUGGCUCAGGAGUUCUUUGUCCUGUCACCAGCGUGGUGCGUAGAUUUACGUGAUUAGUGUCUCUAGAUUUCUGCCAUUUUCAUGUGUGAUAAAUGCACAGCCCGUCAGGUAGUGGGUGGAUGUGGCUAGCUUACGUUUGAAUCACACGUUGACGCAGGCAGCGUCUUGUUCACAUAACUGCUGCUGCAUAUAACACUGGAGUAUUAGACUAGGGGCAAAUGACAUGAUGCAGCUAUGAUAAGCACGCAUUGAAAGCAAGUAUAUUCCAGCCCAAAAAGUGACAAUGCCCUGAAACAGCUCAUUUCGGAAGGUACUGAAAAUGUAGAUUUAUGC